GUAAGACCCACAGAAUGCCUUUGAGCAUAAUGUGAUGGGCGGGGGGGGGGGUUUGUUUAAAUCAGAUUAUGCAGGUUGACUUUGAAAAACUGCAUUUGUCUUGGAUAUGCCUCCCCUUCCCUUCUACCUAAGGAUUCUGCUAACCCUAGAGUCACAUCUGAAUAUGGAGAAAUACGAUCAUUUUGGAAGAAAUCUCGGAUUUGGUGUUAGAUAAAAGUGAUUUCCAAUUUCUGCUAUGCAGUUUGCCAACUGUGUGACUUUGAGCAAUUUACACAACCCUGUUGUGCUUCCAUUUUCUCAUCUCUAAAAUAAGGACUAUGAUAAUACCUAUGUCAUAGCAUAGACUAUCAAAUGAUGUGUGUGAAAUUGUUUAUAAAUACACAAGUGCCAUCCACCUCUAAUUCACACAGCCUGUUCUUUUCCACAGCAUGUGCUGGAUGUCAGUGAUUGGAAAAUUUACCUUUUCCUAUGUCUGUCCAUUUCUUCUACAUUAUUCGUUCUUGUCCCUUUUGGAGGGAAUGGUGCCAUCCAACUGUGCAUGGUUCUAUACCUUGAUAACAGCUCCACAGAAAUUGAACUUAAUGUAUGCUGCAACACGUGUCUGAAAAUAAAUGGGCUGUGAGACAGGAAAUGCUAGUUCUGCCUCUCUCCCAGUGAAGUCGAGAUGAGACAGCUGUGCCUAUAAAUGAAGCCAUUUGAAGAGUUAACAUGGAAGACAGCUCCACGUAAUUGCGAACUUCUGUGGAGCUACUCACAGACCAUGCUCUAGAAAUUAAUAAAAGUAGUGAAUAAGAUGGGAAGGAUGCACAAAAUGAAAACCAAAGGAACAAAUUAGUUUUCCUGUAUGGUUCAACAGCACUAAAUCCAAAGGCUGCCAGGCUCUGCUGGUCUGUGGUUUAAAUGGGAUUUUUAAAUGAUUUACAUCAAGGCUAUGUAAGAAAUCAAAGCAAAGCAGGAUAAAAAUAAGGAAUGAUGUCACUUGUGAUUCUAGUGGGUAAAAAUACACUGAGACAAGGAAGUAAUUGGUAAUUAAAAUAAUGAAAGAAUUCAUCAUGUUUGCCACUAAAUUGAAAGCUAACAUGUCAUGUUUGCCAAUAUUUUCAUCAUUCACUUAAUUUCAAAAAAGUUUCUCAUCCACUCAAGUGUGUGUUUGUUCAUUCAUCCAUCUAGACAAAAAAAUUUCAGAGAUUUCUCUAUAUACCAGGUACGAUCAUCAGAGCUUUUAUACGCUUUUCACUUAAUUCUUAUAACGAUCAUUCUCCACAGGUAAUAUUAUUCCAAGAUUUAAGUCAAAGAAAUUGAGUUGCUUUAUCACAUAUCAAUAUGAUAAAUUUAGCCAGAAAUGAAAUUGUGAUUUGAAUUCAGUUUUUUUCCUUUAGUAUCUGAUAUGAUACCUUUUCCACUACAAGAGAACUGCCUGUUAUGCACUCAACUGGUAUAUUAAAGUAAAUGAAAAUUUUUGAAUUAAAAUAUAAAUGUAAGAUCUUAUUAGUAAUUUCUUAAUAGCCUCUGAAAAUUGGAAACAACAUAUGAGGCGCUUACACUUACCUAUAGUGUAGCCAGAGUGAGAGGGUGGUAAUGGCAAAUUUCUUUCUUUGUACUUAUGCCAUGAAACCUUAUUUGUUGGAUUUUAUAUAUUAUUGUUCAUCCUGCCAGGUAGAAUUUAAGGUAUUUAUCUUAUUUAUUUCAUUACCUCCUAGACUAUGCUUUCUCAUCAGAAACCUACACUGUAAGUUUUAAAAAUGCGCAUUUCUGAGUUCCAUCCCUAUCUUACUGAAUCUGAACUUCUGGGAUUGGGCCAGAGAAUCUUCAUUUCUUUUUGAGACAUGUUCUCACUCUCACCCAGGCUACAGUUCAGUAGUGUGAUUACGGCUCAUUGUAAUGCCUCAUUCGUAGGUUCAAGUGGUCCUCCUGCCUCAGUCUCCCAAGUAGCUAGAACUAUAGGCAAGCACCACCAUACCCAGCUAAUUUAUUUUAAAUUUUUUUGUUCAGACAGGGUCUCACUAUGCUGCCCAGGCUGGUCUCUUACUCCUGGCCUCAAGUGAUCCACCUGCCUCGGCCUCCCAAAGUGCUGAGAGUACAGAUGUGAACCACUGCACCUGGUCUGAAAUCUGCAUUUUUAACCAGCAGACCAGUUCAUUCUGACAUGCUCGAGUUUGAGAACCACUGACCAGGCGAUCCUCUAUACCAAGCCCACCCACAGUGUUUGCUGGCAGCAUGGCUGACUCUUUCAGAAGCUAAUUCAUCUGACAGGUCCUGACCCCCAAGUCUGGGCCCAGCACUGUGCCAGGAGGCCCUUCCAGCUACACCACAUCACAUGAGGUCACAUCACAUCAAAACCCAUGUGUCUCGUUCAUAUUCCAUGGCGACUGUUGGCUCACCACAGUCCUACUCAGAGUUCUGAGUCAGCCUCAGAAACACUGGGAGCUCUGGGCCACCUCAUAUCGAACAUGAGUCAGAGCUGUGAUCUCUGCUUCCCAUUCCUGGGCUACGCUGCUGAUGUGGUACUGGAUUCCUUCCUAGUCAAUCAACACAGACCUUCAUUUCUACAGAGUUCUCUCACCCCCAAGUAAAUAGACUAAUUUCUUUCUGGUUGAUUUAGGUAUUAAAAUUAAAGAUGUAAAAAUAUUUAUUUACUUGGGUAAUGAUGAAUGAGUGCCUUGCAGGAGUAAUGAUUAAUCAUGCUCCACCUGGAAACCAGUGCCAAAACGACUCUGCUAAUAGAAUCCAUCAACUGCUGAAAUAAGUGAUUGCACUGAAGCUUGCUUUAUUCGUACGACCACCACUUUCCGGCCCAGCAGUACCUGUUUAGCCACGAUGGCCGCCAGGCGGACCAGGAGAUGGCCUCGACCAUCGAGCACCAGGACCUGCACCUCCGCCAUCUUCGGCAGCCGCUUGGGAAAAAGCGCUUCUCCCAUUUUUAAAGCUAUGUCCCACGUCUUCUCCAUUUCACCCCAGGUGGAGCUGCAGCCCAGCUGGAGACACAAACGUUCCCAUUUGUAGCUGAGAAGUCCCUGUUUGGUGGAUCAUGGGCUCCUUCCACUGGUUUUGAUGAAUACAUGAGGGAUAGGUGUGUCUAAGACUAUACAGCUAAUAAGUGAUUGGAAUAAAUAGAAGCAUUGACAUCCUGAGCUGUAAGGGUCAUGCUCACAGCUCACUGCAGCCUCAACCUCCUGGGCUCAAGCCAUCCUCCCACCUCAGCUUCCCAAGUAGCUGGGACUACAGGCAUGAACCACCAUGUCCAGGAUUUUGUAUUUUUCAUAGAGAUGAGGUUUCUUGAAUAUGUCCUUAAUAUUGGUUAAAAGAGUGCAUACAUCUGAGGCUUUUGCUAGAGUCACUUUGAAUCACCAUGGAAGACUGUGGGGGUAGUUCUAUGAGAAUUUAAUGAAUUUUCAGUGCAGGGCAAAUGUAGGAAAGAAACUCAAUACUUGAUUUAAGACGUAGGAAUAAAAUGUUAUUUCAGGAACAUAAAUCAAAAUUUAUUGUUUCCUGAAAUGUAUGUUCUAAGUGAAUUAGGUGUUCUGCAACUUAUUUAAUAGCAUUGAAAGUAUAAAAAAUAAAUUUUGAGAUACAUUUGUAGUCUAAUCAGAUAUUGGGAUGCUCAACUCCCAUUUACUGCAGCGAUAGCUAGUCAUAGUGAAAUAUAAUACACACACACACACACACACACACACACACACACACAUAUAUAUAUAUAUAUAUAUAUAUAUAUAUAUUAAAAAUAGUAGUGAGGGAGGCUUAUCAUAUCAGAGUUCUCUCCAGGAAGCUUGUGACAAGGGACUCUGCCAAAUAUAGAGCGAAUAUGUUAGAUCGAAAUCUCCAUGUGAUUUUUGUCUGGCAACAUAAAAAGUUGACAGCUAAAAAGAAGCCCACAAAGACUGCCUUUUCUUCCUUCUGUUUGCAAUUUUUCCUUAGGAUAAUAUUCUCCACCUUUAGACAGUACUGAAUUCUAAAUAUUUGCUUCCUCAAAUACCAUUUUGAUAAAAUUCUAUUUGCCUUACCAGGCUGAUGACCUCUGAUUUAUGUGCUCUGGCCUCAAACUACAUGCUAACACUUUAUUUAGAGAUACACAUAAUAACAUGAAUAUAAAUAUGUUACUUAAAAUCAUUCUUUUAAUAGAAAAAAACGUGUUUCUUUCCCAAAUGAUUUGCAGCACUAUCUUCUGUCUGAAAGUAUUGUGUCUGAAUACAAGACCAUUGUCAAAUAAAAAGAUGUGUGCGUGGGUGUGCAUAUGUAUACGUGUGUUUUAACAAUUCCCAGAAAUUGCCAUAAUGCUAAGAUUAACUCUGGCUUUGAACUAGAAAAGAUAAAACCGGUUAAAGGACACACCAUUGAAAGCCAACUUGUUUUUGUAGUAAAUAUAUAUAUUUUUCUUCAUUUCACCCACAAAUGUAUAUCAUUGCACAUUUGGAGCAGAAAGAACUGAAGCAGCAGAUUGAAAAAAAUGAAUAUUUAUAUUGUAACAGUAGUAAAAGUAAAAGCUAUAUCUUAAAGAAGUUGUGGUUUAGUGGAAAAAUUUCAGGUCUCUUGAGAGAACAAUAGCAAAAGGAACAAAUUAUCUUUAAGUUAUUCGGUUCAGUAGAAAGAAUCAUCUCAUUUUGUUUUCAUUGAAAGCAUUUUAGUCAAGUCUAAUAUCACAAUUUCAAACUGGUUUAUGUUUUUCUUGAAAUCCAAGAGGCUUGGGGUCAAAUACUGCUGUUGUUACAGUGUUUAUGAUUUUGGGAAAGUUACACAAAAUUUCUGAGAUUUGGCUUGUUUGUUAAGUAAGGAUAACGAGACACUUCAAACACAGUGUAAGAUUUCACAUAUGUGAAAAAUCUCAAUUGUG
rnacentral:lncRNA from 1 species